AGAGUUUGAUCCGGCUCAGAACGAACGCUGGCGGCGUGGAUAAGACAUGCAAGUCGAACGAGAGAAUUGCUAGCUUGCUAAUAAUUCUCUAGUGGCGCACGGGUGAGUAACACGUGAGUAACCUGCCCCCGAGAGCGGGAUAGCCCUGGGAAACUGGGAUUAAUACCGCAUAGUAUCGAAAGAUUAAAGCAGCAAUGCGCUUGGGGAUGGGCUCGCGGCCUAUUAGUUAGUUGGUGAGGUAACGGCUCACCAAGGCGAUGACGGGUAGCCGGUCUGAGAGGAUGUCCGGCCACACUGGAACUGAGACACGGUCCAGACACCUACGGGUGGCAGCAGUCGAGAAUCAUUCACAAUGGGGGAAACCCUGAUGGUGCGACGCCGCGUGGGGGAAUGAAGGUCUUCGGAUUGUAAACCCCUGUCAUGUGGGAGCAAAUUAAAAAGAUAGUACCACAAGAGGAAGAGACGGCUAACUCUGUGCCAGCAGCCGCGGUAAUACAGAGGUCUCAAGCGUUGUUCGGAAUCACUGGGCGUAAAGCGUGCGUAGGCUGUUUCGUAAGUCGUGUGUGAAAGGCGCGGGCUCAACCCGCGGACGGCACAUGAUACUGCGAGACUAGAGUAAUGGAGGGGGAACCGGAAUUCUCGGUGUAGCAGUGAAAUGCGUAGAUAUCAAGAGGAACACUCGUGGCGAAGGCGGGUUCCUGGACAUUAACUGACGCUGAGGCACGAAGGCCAGGGGAGCGAAAGGGAUUAGAUACCCCUGUAGUCCUGGCAGUAAACGGUGCACGCUUGGUGUGCGGGGAAUCGACCCCCUGCGUGCCGGAGCUAACGCGUUAAGCGUGCCGCCUGGGGAGUACGGUCGCAAGAUUAAAACUCAAAGAAAUUGACGGGGACCCGCACAAGCGGUGGAGUAUGUGGCUUAAUUCGAUGCAACGCGAAGAACCUUACCUGGGCUUGACAUGUAAUGAACAACAUGUGAAAGCAUGCGACUCUUCGGAGGCGUUACACAGGUGCUGCAUGGCCGUCGUCAGCUCGUGUCGUGAGAUGUUUGGUUAAGUCCAGCAACGAGCGCAACCCCUGUUGCCAGUUACCAGCACGUGAAGGUGGGGACUCUGGCGAGACUGCCCAGAUCAACUGGGAGGAAGGUGGGGACGACGUCAGGUCAGUAUGGCCCUUAUGCCCAGGGCUGCACACGUACUACAAUGCCCAGUACAGAGGGGGCCGAAGCCGCGAGGCGGAGGAAAUCCUAAAAACUGGGCCCAGUUCGGACUGUAGGCUGCAACCCGCCUACACGAAGCCGGAAUCGCUAGUAAUGGCGCAUCAGCUACGGCGCCGUGAAUACGUUCCCGGGUCUUGCACUCACCGCCCGUCA
rnacentral:rRNA from 1 species